UAGGGAAUCUUCCGCAAUGGGCGAAAGCCUGACGGAGCAACGCCGCGUGAGUGAUGAAGGUCUUCGGAUCGUAAAACUCUGUUAUUAGGGAAGAACAAAUGUGUAAGUAACUAUGCACGUCUUGACGGUACCUAAUCAGAAAGCCACGGCUAACUACGUGCCAGCAGCCGCGGUACUACGUAGGUGGCAAGCGUUAUCCGGAAUUAUUGGGCGUAAAGCGCGCGUAGGCGGUUUUUUAAGUCUGAUGUGAAAGCCCACGGCUCAACCGUGGAGGGUCAUUGGAAACUGGAAAACUUGAGUGCAGAAGAGGAAAGUGGAAUUCCAUGUGUAGCGGUGAAAUGCGCAGAGAUAUGGAGGAACACCAGUGGCGAAGGCGACUUUCUGGUCUGUAGCUGACGCUGAUGUGCGAAAGCGUGGGGAUCAAACAGG
rnacentral:rRNA from 1 species